GACGAACGCUGGCGGCGUGCUUAACACAUGCAAGUCGAGCGGGAAGUCCACUUCUAUGGUACUCGAGCGGCGUACGGGGUGGUAACACGUGAUUAAUCUGCCCCUCACUUUGGGAUAGCCACCGUAAACGGGGAUUAAGACCUGAGAUGACCGUAUUUCGCAUGUCGGGUGGGGGAAAGUUGUUCGGUGAGGUUUGUGCUCGCGGCCUAUCAGCUUGAUGGUGUGGUAAUGUCGCACCAUGGCUUCGUCGGGUAGCCUGCCUGAGAGGGUGACCUGUCACACCGGGACUGAGACACGGCCCAGACUCCUCCGGGAGGCAGCAGUGCGGAAUAUUGGACAAUGGGCUGAAGCCUGACCUAGCCCAGCCGCAUGACGGAUGACGGCAUUCGGGUUGUAAACCUCUUUCCUUACAGACGAAGCGCAAGUGACGGUAGGUACAGAAGAAGCACCGGCCAACUCCGUG
rnacentral:rRNA from 1 species